GACGGAGGGGGCUAGCGUUGUUCGGAAUGACUGGGCGUAAAGGGCGUGUAGGCUGUUGAUCAAGUCAAGCGUGAAAGCCUCGGGCUUAACCCGAGAACUGCGUUUGAUACUGGUUGACUUGAGGACGAGAGAGGAAAGUGGAAUUCCGAGUGUAGAGGUGAAAUUCGUAGAUAUUCGGAGGAACAUCAGAGGCGAAGGCGGCUUUCUGGCUCGUAUCUGACGCUGAGGCGCGAAAGCGUGGGGAGCAAACAGGAUUAGAUACCCUGGUAGUCCACGCUGUAAACGAUGAGUGCUAGACGUUGGGGGGUUCCCCUUCAGUGUCGCAGCUAACGCAUUAAGCACUCCGCCUGGGGAGUACGGUCGCAAGAUUA
rnacentral:rRNA from 1 species